rnacentral:rRNA from 1 species
UUUAAAUGUUAAUUUAAAAACUAAAUUAGUAGUAGUUAUGUUCUUAAAAUUUAAAGAUUUUGGCGGUAUUUUAGUCUAUUCAGAGGAACCUGUUCUGUAAUUGAUAGUCCACGAUUAACAUUACUUAAUUUUAAAAGCUUGUAUAUCGUUGUUUAUAGAAAAUUUUAUAAGAAUGAUAAUUUUUAGUAAAUUAAAUUAAAUUUUAAAUCAAAUCAAGGUGCAGUUUAUAAUUAAGAAGAAAUGGGUUACAAUAAAAUUAUUUAUUUAUGGAUUUUUAAUUUAAAUAUUUAAAUGAAGGUGGAUUUGAUUGUAAUAUUAUUAAUUUUAAUAAUAUGAUUAUAGCUCUAAAGUAUGU